rnacentral:lncRNA from 1 species
CCAAGUUCUGGGCACCUGCCUAGGCGCUCCGCCUAGCGCUUUUUGAAACAUUGUCAGGGCCAACACUUGUUUCUUGAUUGAGCAAGACACGUUCUUAUAAUUCAUGCAUUGGAUUCUACUGUUGUGUAUUGUGAUGCCUUAAAUUGACAUUUUGCACGCCAGUAACAUAUUCAUCACACCAUUGGAAUAACCCACAUAAUAGACACUUAUAUUACAUCAUGUUAAGGUUUUUUGGGUUUACCGAUGCUUUCGUAGCAUAAUCUAUACUACACUUAGGGCAUUGUCGAGGGAUAUAUCCUCGAUUACUUGUAGAAUCAAAUGACAUUGUUAGGGCUUACAAUAAUCGCAUCAGAACCACACUGUGAAUGACAUAAUAAGUACAUAUUUCAAGCACAUCAUAACAUUCAUUGCAAAUAUGUCAAUGAACAGAGUACAUUGAAAAUGCAAAGCUCCUGACAAUUUGCAAAUGCAAAGCUAAAUAUGGAAAUAUUUAUUGACUUCACUAUGUAUAUAGCAUUGUGUAUAGAGAAUGUACCGACAGGAACUGAAUUAACAUCAAGCUCACAUAGAGUAGCCAAUAAGCCACCUCCCAUUGUUGUUCAAUUAUAAGUAUAACAUCCUUUUGUAAAAUUUGUUGUAAACCUGAUUAGACUAAACAAGUAUGUAAAGUUACAGCCACAAAAAAUACAACACAUUUAUGAAAAAAAUACAUGCAAUUCACUUAUAUAACUAUGGAUUUUUAAACAAAAAGCAAAUUAUUCCCCAAGAGGGGAAGAAAAAAGAUGCGUGAGAUACAUCAUACCAAACACUAUAAUGAUAUCAACCCAAAUGUCCCAAACUGAUUGGACACAAAAAUUCCACAAAAUAUGAAAAUGCACGAAAAAAAGAAAUACAACUAAAUGCAAUGCAACAACAACAAAUAUCCAUGGAAAAAUAUGAUUGCUAAACACAAAUGCAACAACAAGAUGUCUGCAAUAAAAGAAGAUUAAAAAAAAUAAACAAUAAAAAAAAAGAUCAAAUCAGAUAAAAAUUAGAACAUAGAAUACAUCAAGUGACAAAUAGGAAGAUCCUCCAAACAAAGAAUAGCCCAAAAACAACUACACAUCAAAGUGCUCAGAACAAGAGUUUAAUUCUAAGAAACAGAAAUACCAUAACAAAAACCCUAACUUUAGACUAGAUUACUCCAUCCUGGAUUAGUCAGUCAAACCAUAGCCUCAAUUCUGACACAAAAAAGAUGUCGGAGCUAUAACUAUAAUUCGAUAUUUCAAUGAAUAGAUACUUAUAAAUUCAAUAAAAAUUUGCUUAGUUUAAAACAUUUCUCAACAUAAAAACCAACAAUAUAAGAAAGAAACCAAAAAGAGAAUCAAUGCCACCUGAUUGUAAACAAUACAAAAUAACAAAAUUUGCAGAAAACAAUGAACAAUGAAGAAAAAAAAUACCGGGUGCGAGUUGGGAAUGUAUAGUUUAGAGAUUUGGGAAUCAAGGAGAGCCCUCAAAUACAUUCAUUAUCAAACAAAAAGCCGUAAUUCGUAAUGUAUAGUUCAGAGAUUUGAGGGGUUUUAACCAGUAAUGUGUAAAACUAUGAUAGAGAUCUGACAUUAUUCCUUACCUUCUGGUUGUAGAGAGAGAGGGGGACACGGCCUCCUGGUGUUAGAGAGAGCGA